UGUAGUGAUGAUGGCACUGAGGCCACACCUGUUCCCAUACCGAACACAGAAGUUAAGCUCAGUAGCGCCGAAAGUAGUUGGAGGAUCGCUUCCUGCGAGGAUAGGACGUCGCUAUGC
rfam:Weissella confusa LBAE C39-2, WGS project CAGH01000000 data, contig: WeissC39_1_contig00068